rnacentral:piRNA from 1 species
UGGCGAUCAUAGUGUGGCUUUGG